GACGAACCGAGCGAACGUUGUUCGGAAUCACUGGGCUUAAAGGGCGCGUAGGCGGGCUGUCAAGUUUGGGGUGAAAUCCCGCGGCUCAACCGUGGAACUGCCUCAAAUACUGACGGUCUCGAGGGAGGUAGGGGCGAGCGGAACUGAUGGUGGAGCGGUGAAAUGCGUUGAUAUCAUCAGGAACUCCGGUGGCGAAGGCGGCUCGCUGGACCUCUUCUGACGCUGAGGCGCGAAAGCUAAGGGAGCAAACGGG
rnacentral:rRNA from 1 species